rnacentral:tRNA from 1 species
GUGCAGUCAGGCCGGCCAGUGGGCCCUCGGCGAUUUCAACGCCGUAGGCUUGUUUGAAUUCUGCACCGCGCA